UACGUAGGGUGCGAGCGUUACUCGGAAUUACUGGGCGUAAAGCGCGCGCAGGCGGCUUUGCAAGACAGAUGUGAAAUCCCCGGGCUCAACCUGGGAACUGCAUUUGUGACUGCAAGGCUAGAGUACGGCAGAGGGGGAUGGAAUUCCGCGUGUAGCAGUGAAAUGCGUAGAUAUGCGGAGGAACACCAAUGGCGAAGGCAAUCCCCUGGGCCUGUACUGACGCUCAUGCACGAAAGCGUGGGGAGCAAACAGG
rnacentral:rRNA from 1 species